GCGCGCGUAGCUCAGCUGGUUAGAGCACUCGACUGAUAAUCGGGAGGUCUCAGGUUCGACUCCUGACGCGCGCACCG
rnacentral:tRNA from 1 species